rnacentral:rRNA from 1 species
UACAGAGGUGUCAAACGUUGUCCGGAAUUAUUGGGCGUAAAGGGCGCGUAGGCGGCCACGCACGUCCGUUGUGAAAUCGCCCGGCUCAACUGGGCGGGGUCAGCGGAUACGGUGUGGCUCGAGCAAGCUAGGGGGCAAUGGAAUUCCCGGUGUAGUGGUGGAAUGCGUAGAUAUCGGGAGGAACACCAGUGGCGAAGGCGGUUGCCUGGAGCUUUGCUGACGCUGAGGCGCGAAAGCGUGGGGAGCGAUCCGG